rnacentral:rRNA from 1 species
UACGUAGGGGGCUAGCGUUGUCCGGAAUCAUUGGGCGUAAAGAGCGUGUAGGCGGCUUGGUAAGUCCGCUGUGAAAGUCCAGGGCUCAACCCUGGAAAGCCAGUGGAUACUGUCAAGCUAGAGUCCGGAAGAGGCGAGUGGAAUUCCUGGUGUAGCGGUGAAAUGCGUAGAUAUCAGGAGGAACACCUGUGGCGAAAGCGGCUCACUGGACCAUAACUGACGCUGAGACGCGAAAACGUGGGGAGCAAACAGG